rnacentral:sRNA from 1 species
UAAAUUACGUAUACAAUUUUACAGUCAUGCUGCAUCAGCAGCAGGCGUACCAGCUGUUGUCCGGGCAUCCGUGUGGGGCAGAGAGUGGACAAAGCUCUGAGGUGGAGUACAUGCAACGGAGUUGACUACAUUAUUUAUACAUUAUCGCAAGAGACGCCAAUGAGGAGGCCAAUGGGUCACAUCUUAGACACACCUACACAAUCGCAGCAGCCCCGCCUGUCGAGGACGCAAAACAAGUGCGUCUUGGAACGUCGAACGGGGUAUCCACAAGCAGUUCUCGCUUCGUUCGGCGAAUGUGGUUCACAGCCGCAGCUCCUGUUGCUGCUCGUGCAACGAUUCGUUGACUCUGUUUGGAUCCCUGUGGAGCUGCCCUGGUUGAUCCCACAGUGGUUGCUGUUACUGUGUUUUUCUGAUAGCCAGGGAAAGGGAACGCCUCUGGUGGGGGGAAAACGUAUGCCAUGUGAUCUAAUCGGCAGCAGUGAAUGUUUCAAUGGAUAAUACCAACAAUACCGGAUAAAUCUUAUCCGAAUAUCAGAGGCUAUACAUCCAAAGGGGGAGUAGAGUAGCGUCGGACACAGGCAAUCAUUUUUGUGUGUAUUUCUGAAACGAAUUCCUUUUAGUGGCCACAUUUGCUAACGGACUAACAGCAAAAACAGAGAUAUCCUUAUGGGGAAAAGCAUGCAGUGAGAUCAAGAGAAAUAUGUGCGUCAGCUUGGCUUUCCAGUUGAGCUGGGAGCAUCGGUGCAGCAGAAAUGAUUGAUUGUUACACUGUUUAAUCAAAUUUAGCUUUCUGGCUGUUUAGCCCAUAGUCUCACCAACGCGGUCUUGUAUGAGCAAUUGCAAUUCCGACUUGGGCGUCUUUUUCCCACUUAAUAUUAAAGGGCUUUACA